UGCCAGGGGUGGAAUGCAGACAAAAAAGGGGUCCCCACCUAGGAUAAAGGGAACCUCUGGCUAAAUUUCACCUGUUCCCACUUCCAUUCGUACCAGGUCGUCCUUCCUAAGUCCCAUCCCAACUAAGGCAAAAGCUAAAGAGAAACUUGAGUCCUGUUAUCUGAAGUUGUGUGCAUAUUUAACCUGCCCGGUUGUCUUUCAUACAAACAGGGAGAGGAUAAUUUCUAAUUCCCUGCCUUCACUGUUACUCCAAAAUGUGCAAAGGCCCUCCAUGACUCUCUCCUCAUGGUGACAAUAAUAACCAAAGGAAGCCACUUCAAGGAGGAAAGAUGGGUUUCAGCUCACGCUGACAGUCCUGGGGACCCAGAAGGCAUCUUCAGAGGCCGCCAUGGGGCUAAUUCUUGGGGCAGCUCUCAGGCCAGAACCUGGAGUUGAUGUCACCUUCAAGACCCACUCCCAGCAUCCCUUACAGCAAGUUAGGUUAAAGCCCUAGACUUUGUACAACCUCUCCCAUAGAGGCCACCAGCUGGGGAUCUCAUGUCAAACAUGAGUCUACAGGCCAUAUUCUUCAUCAAAAUGGUAAUGAUGAUUACAGGCCAUCACCCCCAACACUCAAACAAAGUUGCAUUUUACAUGUUAAGCUUUGGGGUCUUGAGCCUUAAAUGACUAUGUGGCAAGCUGAAUAAAGGACAACAUAUGUGCAGUAUGAGGAAUGGCCCCUUGAAACCCAGAGAACUCGGAAUGGAAAGGAAGAACUUUCUGAGGACCAGCUGGUAGUCAGAGCUCUCUGGCUAGGCAUAGCAGAAGAUGGCAUUUGCCUGCGCUAUAGCUACCUGUCUCCUGGUCAAUCCCAAGGCUGGCCAUUGCCCAUUCAUAGGACUUGGGUUACUUUUUCAGUGCUAAGGUAGGAAAUAAAUCUACAAAGAAAGAAGAGAUGAUUAAGAAGAGAGGUGGGUUAGGUCGGAUUGAAGUUUGCUUUUGGACCUGGCUGGCAUUUAGCUUUCUGACUGUACUAGUCCUUGUGAUUCAGCAGUAGCUGACCAAUAUUGGUCCCCCAACCCCAACUCCAUCCCCUCUCUACCCUUCCCCCAACAGGUUCUCUUUACGUGCAGCUCCUAGCCUCCCUCUACUCUCCACUCCAAAAUGUCCUGGUCUGGCCAAGGACUCCCUAGCCUUGCUUUUCAAAAGGCUCCUCACCAGCUCUGAACACCACCGGCUCCCCCUCCUCCCUGCCAGCCCGGCUGGAGUCCGCAGGCACGCCAGGCACACGUGGAAUGCUGCCAGUCGCAGGAGAUCCCAAGCGAGAUAAAAAGCGCACAUCUUUGACCACUUCUUUACCAAACAGACCCAAGAUGUGUAAUUAAAGGCCCCGGGACUCUGCUGGAAAUAGGUUUAAACUUGAGGUCGGGCAGUUGCAACAGACCUCGCCAGCGUGGCUUAAGCAACACAACAAUGUUCUCACAGCUCAGGAGGCUGAGAAGUUCGUUCAGGGUGCUCAGCUGGUUCCUGGAGAGGUCUUCCCUUUCUUGCUUGCUUGUCGACGGCGCUGUCUCCAAAUGCAGCUACACCAGGUGGCUACAGCUUUUCACUUCCGAGUUUGGAGAGACCGUGAUUCAGCCCACAGCACUCAAGUGUGAUUGGAGUAUUCGAAGGACAGUGAGGGAAACAGGACCACACAUGAUGGCUCUUCAAGUCCCACUCAGAGAAUGCGUGAUGCUAUAGAGACCCAGCAAAGGGAGGCUAGAGAGACGGCUCCGUGUUAAGAUCACUUAAUGCUCUCCCAGAGGACCUGAGUUCGGUUCCCAGAGCUUACUCCAGGGUUCACAACUGCCUGGACCUUCAACUCCAGGGCAUCUAAACCCACUGCCCUCUUCUGGCCCUCACAGCUAGACUGACAGCUUACGAGUCACAGCAGUCCUCCUGUUCCCGCUCCCCACAGACCUGCAGCUACAGGCCCACUGGAGACCAUGUCCAGCUUGCUACCUGGGUGCUGAGAUUUGAACCCAGGUCCUCAUGGUUGUGCUGCAAGGGCUCUCAGCCAUCUCUCAGUCCUCCAAGAGAAAAAUUUAAAAGCCUGUUUCCCUUUAUCUCUUUUAAUUAGUGUAUUAAAUAGUGUGUGUGUGUGUGUGUGUGUGUGUAUGUGUGUGUGUGUGUGAGCAUGCACACGCAAGUAUGAGUGUGAAAUUCAGAGGCCAGUUUUUGGAAGCCAGCUCUCUUCUACCAGCUUAUGUGGGUUCUGGGGAUCCCCACUCUCCCAUCUCUGCCUGCUGCCAGGACAACUUGACGAGAGGCACCAUGCCCGGCCAUUAAUCUGUUCUCUGUCACUAGUCCUUUGCCUGGGGGUACCCUGGGUGCCACAUUUGCACAUUGUGUACACUCCAUUUGUACACACACCACUGGAACCAGGAACAUUUGCUCAUGCUUGCUGGCCUUUUUUAAAAGGCAAACUCUUAAAGUAUGUUAUAAGCUAUGUGUGAUUUCCCUGAACAUUUCCAUGUGCGUGUGUCAGAUGUUAAGAGUGUGUUCCUUGGUGGCUUCUGUGCUGUAUCAGAGCAUAGAAAUGCCGCAAAUGCCAUGAGAUACCAGAUCCACAUCUGCAUUUCUUCAGUGUCCCCACAAAUAUCUCCUACAGCUGACUUGUCCAAAUCAGGACCAGAUAGAGAGCCUGGUAGUUACGGCUUUUAAGAUACUUUUAUUGACGAACAUGCCUGGCUCCUUUCCCUCCUUCUCCUUCUAUAUGAUAUCAGACACUGCCUUGUUAAGAUACCGGGCAGGUUGCCUGCUCCUGUGGGGUGGGUCUGCCUGUCUCCCGAGAUGUUUGACUCCUCCCAUCCAUCGCCCCCCUUCAGAGAGGCCUGAAGUUAGGGUUAAGAGCUUAAUUCUGUUCAGAAUGGCCACACGCCCCACUUCCUGGAACCUCCCAUUAAGAGGCAUAUCUUGUUUGCCCCUGCUGUUCUGACGAUGUCUAGAGUAAGAAGGUCCAGUCAGUGUCAAAUUACUUUUGCCAUUUGUUCUACUUGCAGCCGACACACAACACAGUGCAGGGGACAGGGCUUUGGUACCACCUGAAUAUCCAGUUCACCAAAGACAAGAUUUAACCAAUAGCAUUUGAGUCCUUUAUUAUCCCUGAAGGAAUCCUCUGUUUUGUCGGGGCUUCGCAAAAGUGACCUCCUAAUGAUUGGCCUUUCUAUACUGUAAUCUUGAAUCUGUAAAAGAAGACCAGCCCUCUCUUAUUACCCUGAAAUUUAGUUCUUCCUGGCAAGUUGGGAUAAAGGCUGAAUUCCUGAGUUUCCAAGGGUAACCCUGGUCUUUAGGAGGCUGUAGAAUGAACGCGACUGGGGAGCUUGAGGGUCUCCAGAGGAAACUUCAUUUCCUCCACUUUCCCCUGAGAUCACCCCACUUUUUGGGAAACCAGCCAGAGGGACACACGUGUUCUCGAAAGUUCCCGAGUGCGAGCAUUUGUGGCAGGCAGCUGCAGAGCCCCCAGAGCUUUCCACCGAAGCAGAGAGGAAGGGUGUUAGACUUGGUUCCUUCCUCCCCGGAUGCUUAGGGUCCUCAUUCUUUUGGAAUGGGGGGUGGGGGUGGAUCUUUGGGGUGGGACUCUCAUCUCAGGGCUCUUCGCUCUGGCUCUGCUUUGAAGGGACAAGCUCCCGUCAGUCUUCUUUCCAAAUGGCCAUGCGUUUUCCAGUCUUUACUUACUUUGCCCUGACUAACAACAGGCCAAAGGGUUAUCUGUCCAACAUUCACCUAAUGGUAGGAAAGCGUCACCGGUGGUUCAGUUUAUUACCCAGCUGACCCUCCGAGGGACAACCUUAAAGAGCUCAUUGUUCAGUUUGAAUGACUGAUGCUCGCAUACAGAAAGUGGAGUGGGAAGCGUCAGCCCAAAUGGAUGUGUGGAAGCAAACACUAAACCCCCUAUCCUGAUCACCUAUUGGUCUCCUGCCAUAUAUUGAUCCAUUAGCCUCAAACGCCUCUCGGAGAUGGGUAGCAUCGUCCUAUAGUUCUGAUGAGAUAACUGCACAGCCUAUCCAGGGCCACUCGGCUCUUACACUCAGGCCCUGUGUGAGCCACGCCUGCAUUCCACCUAGCACCGGGUACUGUUUGUUCUCUUACCAAGUGUUCUGUGAAACAGGAGUAUAGAGAAAUGGGGCUGUCAUGGUUACUAUAUAACAUUGUUGCUUUGGGAUUUCCCCCAUUUCACAUGUAACUAUUGAAACAAUAUUGUGUUAACUAUGUAUUAAAUAUAUUGCAUAGUAAAGAAAAUCUUCAUAGGAAAAAAUAUGCCUUAUAACCACAGCACCUUAAUUUAAUAAGUGCUUUUAUUUUUAAAUAUCUCCCUCAGAUCUUUGCCCCUAGGCGUUGGUAUUCCUGCAUAGGACUGAUCAGCACAGAUGCUAUUUCAUGCUUUCUUGUUUGACUUUAUAUGCAUUAUAAAUAUUUUUAUGAAGCCCUUACAUUUUCAGGGUUACAGACUGGAUCCUACCUCACUGGGUAAGUACAGCAUUUACUUAGCCAAUCUAACUCGUGUAGGCCUCAUCUGGAUAGAUAUACAUUUCUGCUAGAAAAAGAAAAACAAAGUGAGGCUAGAGAGUUGGCUUAGCAGUUAAAAGCACUGACUGCUCUUCCAGAAGUCCUGAGUUCAAAUCCUUAGCACCCACAUGGUGGCUCACAGGGUCUAUAACUGUAUUCCUCGGAAUCCUAUGUCUUCUUCUGGUGUGCAGAUGUACAUGAAAAUCAAACACCCAUAUACAUCAAAUACAC